rnacentral:rRNA from 1 species
GAGCGGCGGACGGGUGAGUAAUGUCUGGGAAACUGCCUGAUGGAGGGGGAUAACUACUGGAAACGGUAGCUAAUACCGCAUAACGUCGCAAGACCAAAGUGGGGGACCUUCGGGCCUCAUGCCAUCAGAUGUGCCCAGAUGGGAUUAGCUAGUAGGUGGGGUAACGGCUCACCUAGGCGACGAUCCCUAGCUGGUCUGAGAGGAUGACCAGCCACACUGGAACUGAGACACGGUCCAGACUCCUACGGGAGGCAGCAGUGGGGAAUAUUGCACAAUGGGCGCAAGCCUGAUGCAGCCAUGCCGCGUGUGUGAAGAAGGCCUUCGGGUUGUAAAGCACUUUCAGCGGGGAGGAAGGCGUUGAGGUUAAUAACCUUGGCGAUUGACGUUACCCGCAGAAGAAGCACCGGCUAACUCCGUGCCAGCAGCCGCGGUAAUACGGAGGGUGCAAGCGUUAAUCGGAAUUACUGGGCGUAAAGCGCACGCAGGCGGUCUGUCAAGUCGGAUGUGAAAUCCCCGGGCUCAACCUGGGAACUGCAUUCGAAACUGGCAGGCUAGAGUCUUGUAGAGGGGGGUAGAAUUCCAGGUGUAGCGGUGAAAUGCGUAGAGAUCUGGAGGAAUACCGGUGGCGAAGGCGGCCCCCUGGACAAAGACUGACGCUCAGGUGCGAAAGCGUGGGGAGCAAACAGGAUUAGAU